UUUCAGAGGCCGAGCCACAGGUAGGCCGUUAUCGUGGGCGUCCAUUUGGGCCUUGGGAUGUGCAUCUCGUCAGUGGGUGGCAGGCCUAUGCAGAGAAAUACAGCCCGCGAUACGCCUAGGGAGUGUGUAGGCGUAUUCUGUGCGGCCCAUUGACCGCGACUGCCCCCCGCCACAGCACAGGAAGGAGAAUCUCGUCGUCCCCUAUCCCAAAACUUUACCCCGUGGAGAAGCCCCAGUCCUCUCUGCCCUCUUCUCUUUCCCCCCGGGCGACGGCGGCGGGGUGCUAUCCGGCGAGAUGUCCACCAACGGCGGCGACUGCGCCGGGUUCAGGCUCUCCGGAGCACUCGUCCUCCUCCACUCCGGCGACCAAAUCACCCGGAUCCCGCGUCAUCUUCCACUCCAGCGGCGACUCAACUCAAGUUUGCAGAACACCGGAUCUGCCCAGGGCAAGGCCCUCGUCCACGAAUGUGGCCGGGAAAAUUCAUUUUCUUCAUUUUUUUGGUCGGUGAGGCUGGAUCACACGUCAAUUACUUGUGCUUUUCUCCUAGCUGUUGAUCAUCUGUUCCAGAUUUGCACUUUUUUUGGUGAUUUUUAUUUUGUUCCAUCUAUCCUUUUGAGACGGGUGAUCUAGCUGUAUGGCUCGAUCGAGAUGCAUAUCACUUCUGCUGUUAAAUCCAAAAUAGACUGCUCUCCUUUGUUUUCUUGUAAUCCCCUUCCUUCUAUUCCUUCUGUACAUAUGCGAUUUUCUUUUGUUUGUUUGUAAUCCCCUUCGUCUGGACUGGAUAGAUCUCUCCUCAUCCUGUUGCUGCGCAGAUCCAAAUUUGCCGUGAUGUUUUUAUAGACAAUAUAUAUGUUGUUUUUUAUUCGUACCCAUGCUUAUGUGCCAGAUUGACUUAAUUUCUGUGAUGUCUUGAGGAUUCCUCUAACUUGGAUAAUUGAUGCUUAAUCCUGCUGGAACUUAAUAAUGGAUUUGAUGUUCUGUUCUUGAUGUGCUAAUCCAAGGUUAAUAAUUAUUUCUUAAGUGGGGUAGAGUUUGAAUUCCUACCACUGAUUGCAAAAAUCUUCUGUUCCAUGGAUUUCAGUUUGUUUCGUUGACCACUUUCCCAGGAGUCACAGACUUGAGCAACGUUGAUGGUCAAGUGUGUCGUGGCGGCGAGGCCACAUCCCUUGUCAGAUACGCUGGUUGCGGAGCUACAAGUGGCUGGACCAGAAGGUGUUUCAGAUUAAAAUUUCCUCAUCCAAAAAACCAUUAAUUCUGAACAUAGAUUAGGAUCGGCAAUGCUCCUGAGGAGAGGGAGAUGAACCCCAACAGGAAAACAUCGCUACAAUUGUCUGUGCGUGCUUAUGGAGAGAAGGGUGUAUCAACCGUGGUGUUGUUGGACACCAGAACUGUCUUUUAUGCCCUUCCCUGAAUUGUUGUUUGUUGUACUUUGUUAAAUCAUAGGGCUGUUAUGUAAAAUGCAUGUUAAAUCUUGGGGCUGUUACUUUUAGUUUACAUAACUGCUAGUUCGAAACUGUGGCAUUGAUAUCAUGCCACUACUUAGCUUUGGUAGGCAGAAACUGAAUUCAAAUGUUGUUGUGGCUGCUGUUAA